rnacentral:rRNA from 1 species
AUAGCGUAUAUUAAAGUUGUUGAGGUUAAAAAGCUCGUAGUUGAACCUUGGGCCUAGCCGGCCGGUCCGCCUCACCGCGUGCACUGGCUCGGCUGGGCCUUUCCUUCUGGAGAACCGCAUGCCCUUCACUGGGUGUGCUGGGGAACCAGGACUUUUACUCUGAAUAAAUUAGAUCGCUUAAAGAAGGCCUAUGCUCGAAUACAUUAGCAUGGAAUAAUAAAAUAGGACGUGUGGUUCUUUUUUGUUGGUUUCUAGAACCGCCGUAAUGAUUAAUAGGGACAGUCGGGGGCAUCAGUAUUCAAUUGUCAGAGGUGAAAUUCUUGGAUUUAUUGAAGACUAACUACUG